CAGAUUGAACGUGGCGGCCGGCCUAACACAUGCAAGUUGGACGGUAACCUUUUUUAGCUUGCUUGGAAAGGACGAGUGGCCGACGGGUGAAUUAUGCUUGGGGAAUUGCCUUUGCGAGGGGGAUAACCAUUGGAAACGAAUGCUAAUACCGCAUAAUGUUUUUGGACCCAACGGGGGUUUUAGCUCCGGCGCAAAGAGAGGCCCAAGUGAGAUUAGCUAGUUGGUAAGGUAACGGCUUACCAAGGCGACGAUCUCUAGCUGUUCUGAGAGGAAGAUCAUCCACACUGGGACUGAGACACGGCCCAGACUCCUACGGGAGGCAGCAGUGGGGAAUAUUGCACAAUGGGGGAAACCCUGAUGCAGCCAUGCCGCGUGUGUGAAGAAGGCCUUCGGGUUGUAAAGCACUUUCAGUUGUGAGGAAAAGUUAGUAGUUAAUACCUGCUAGCCGUGACGUUAACAACAGAAGAAGC
rnacentral:rRNA from 1 species